UAACACGUGGAGGAGCAAUCCCUGAGUACAGUGGCGUACGGGUGAGUAACACGUGGAUGAUCUACCUUUUGGUGGGGAAUACCUCUGGGAAACCGGAGACAAUACCGCAUAAGCUCGGAAGAGGAAACCCGCAAGGGGCCGAAAGAGGAGUCCGCGGCCGAUUAGCUAGUUGGUGGGGUAAAGGCUCACCAAGGCAAAGAUCGGUAGCCGGCCUGAGAGGGCACACGGCCACACUGGCACUGAAACACGGGCCAGACUCCUACGGGAGGCAGCAGUGGGGAAUCUUGCACAAUGGGGGCAACCCUGAUGCAGCGACGCCGCGUGAGCGAUGAAGCCCUUCGGGGUGUAAAGCUCUUUCGACGGGAACGAUAAUGACGGUACCCGGAGAAGAAGCUGCGGCUAACUACGUGCCAGCAGCCGCGGUAAUACGUAGGCAGCAAGCGUUGUUCGGAGUUACUGGGCGUAAAGAGUGCGUAGGCGGUUGACCAAGUCUGUCGUGAAAUCUCCUGGCUUAACUGGGAGGGUGCGGUGGAAACUGGUUGGCUUGAGAGUGGGAGAGGUAAGCGGAAUUCCUGGUGUAGCGGUGAAAUGCGUAGAUAUCAGGAGGAACACCGGUGGUGUAGACGGCUUACUGGACCACGACUGACGCUGAGGCACGAAAGCGUGGGUAGCAAACAGGAUUAGAUACCCUGGUAGUCCACGCCCUAAACGAUGCAUACUUGGUGUGAGCGAUUCAUUUCGUUCGUGCCGGAGCUAACGCGUUAAGUAUGCCGCCUGGGGAGUACGGUCGCAAGGCUAAAACCUCAAAGGAAUUGACGGGGGCCCGCACAAGCGGUGGAGCAUGUGGUUUAAUUCGACGCAACGCGAAGAACCUUACCUGGGCUCGAACGGCUUCUCAACGGCAGUGGAAACAUUGCUAUCCCGCAAGGGAGUGGAGUCGAGGUGCUGCUGGCUGUCGUCAGCUCGUGUCGUGAGAUGUUGGGUUAAGUCCCGCAACGAGCGCAACCCUUGUCGCUGUCGUCAGCUCGUGUCGUGAGAUGUUGGGUUAAGUCCCGCAACGAGCGCAACCCCUGUCCUGUGUUGCCAGCAUUAAGUUGGGCACUCUCAGGAGACCGCCAGCGAUAAGUUGGAGGAAGGUGGGGAUGACGUCAAGUCAUCAUGGCCUUUAUGUCCAGGGCUACACACGUGCUACAAUGGGCGGUACAAACCGACGCCAACCCGCGAGGGGGAGCAAAUCGGAAAAAACCGUUCUCAGUUCGGAUUGCAGGCUGCAACUCGCCUGCAUGAAGCUGGAAUCGCUAGUAAUGGUAUAUCAGAAUGAUACCGUGAAUACGUUCCCGGGCCUUGUACACACCGCCCGUCACAUCACGAAAGUGGGUUGUACUAGAAGUCUGCAGGCUAACCCGCAAGGGAGGCAGCGGCCCAAGGUAUGACUCAUGAUUGGGGUGAAGUCGGAACAAGGUAGCCG
rnacentral:rRNA from 1 species